rnacentral:rRNA from 1 species
CACGUAGGCGGAUAUUUAAGUCAGGUGUGAAAGACCGCAGCCUAACUGCGGGGUUUGCACUUGAAAACUGGGGUAUCUUGAGGGCGAGGAGAGGUCAGUAGAAUUCCUGGUGUAGCGGUGAAAUGCGUAGAAAUCAGGAGGAAUACCAGUGGCGAAGGCGGCUGACUGGACUGGCCCUGACGCUGAGGUGCGAAAGCGUGGGGAGCAAACA